GAUGAACGCUGGCGGCGUGCCUAAUACAUGCAAGUCGAGCGAACAGAUGAGGAGCCUGCUCCUCUGACGUUAGCGGCGGACGGGUGAGUAACACGUGGAUAACCUACCUAUAAGACUGGGAUAACUUCGGGAAACCGGAGCUAAUACCGGAUAAUAUAUUGAACCGCAUGGUUCAAUAGUGAAAGACGGUUUUGCUGUCACUUAUAGAUGGAUCCGCGCCGCAUUAGCUAGUUGGUAAGGUAACGGCUUACCAAGGCAACGAUGCGUAGCCGACCUGAGAGGGUGAUAGGCCACACUGGAACUGAGACACGGUCCAGACUCCUACGGGAGGCAGCAGUAGGGAAUCUUCCGCAAUGGGCGAAAGCCUGACGGAGCAACGCCGCGUGAGUGAUGAAGGUCUUCGGAUCGUAAAACUCUGUUAUUAGGGAAGAACAAAUGUGUAAGUAACUAUGCACGUCUUGACGGUACCUAAUCAGAAAACCACGGCUAACUACGU
rnacentral:rRNA from 1 species